rnacentral:rRNA from 1 species
UGAUGGAGCUAUGCCAUGUGAAUGAUGAAGAUCUUUUUGAUUGUAAAGUUCUUUUAUUGGGGAAAAUGAUGAUGGUACCCGAUGAAUAAGUGACAGCAAACUAUGUGCCAGCAGCUGCGGUAAUACAUAGGUCGCUAGCGUUAUUCGGAUUUAUUGGGCGUAAAGCAAGCGCAGGCGGACGAGUAAGUUCUGUGUUAAAAGCAGCAGCUCAACUGUUGUUUGCGCCGAAUACUGCUCGUCUAGAAUACGGUAGAAAGUUUCGGAAUUGAAUAUGGAGCGGUGGAAUGUGUAGAUAUAUUCAAGAACACCAGAGGCGAAGGCGGAAACUUAGGCCGCUAUUGACGCUUAGGCUUGAAAGUGUGGGGAGCAAAUGGGAUUAGAUACCCCAGUAGUCCACACCGUAAACGAUGGAUAUUAGAUGUUGGGACUUGAGUCUCAGCGUUGUAGCUUACGUGUUAAAUAUCCCGCCUGAGUAGUACAUAUGCAAAUAUGAAACUCAAAGGAAUUGACGGGGACCUGAACAAGUGGUGGAACAUGUUGCUUAAUUCGACAAUACACGAAAAACCUUACCAAGAUUUGACAUCCCUUGCUAAACCCUAGAAAUAGGGUGGAAGUUAUCAAGGUGACAGGUGGUGCAUGGCUGUCGUCAGCUCGUGUCAUGAGAUGUUUGGUUAAGUCCCGCAACGAGCGUAACCCUACUCUUUAGUUAGCUUUUUAGAGAGACUGCACAGUAAUGUAGAGGAAGGAUGGGAUCACGUCAAGUCAUCAUGCCCCUUAUAUCUUGGGCCGCAAACGUGUUACAAUGGCGAGUACAGCGUGUCGCAAACCAGCGAUGGUAAGCCAAUCACUAAAAGCUCGUCUCAGUCC